CUGGUCAUGCGCCAGGAUUUCUGGGGGCAUAUCCCGUGGUUCUUAGUGUACCAAGGCACCCCCCACGGGAGCUCUGAUUGGAGGAUCACCCGGCUCUGCUGAUUGGUCCAGUUACGCUAUUUAAGCCAGGAGGCGGAACAGGAAGCUUGUCCAAGCAGCAAGAUUUAAAUUUGCUAUGGCAACCUACUGGCAUGGAAUGGAUGCCAGGAAAUGUCAGAAUGAGGUUAAGGCAGAGAUGGCGCUGGAGCGGGAGCAGCGUGUGUGUGGCGGGGGAUCUCCUCCCAGCCCAAGAAUAUAAAACACAACGGCACACAAAGUGUUGGGUGUUCCCGCCAGCAGCAGCGUCUACCCAGAGAGCAAUGCAAGGGGCAUGGAUCCUCCUGGCUUUCUGGAGAAUGAAGUUGGACAGCAGACUGAUCAGAUUGUCAGAGCUGGCUCCCUCGCGCUGUCCUGGCCCUGGGCUUUCUAAAUGCAGCUUUAGAAAGGACUUAGAAUUGAUAUUGCCCAUGGAAAUAUUUUAAA